AUCUAGUCUUGGUGCUCUGUGGACACCUGGUUCAUCCCCCUGUCCUUUGUCGUAGGUCCUGCCCUGUUUUAAGUCUCCUGUGCUCUGCUGGGGGACACUAG
rnacentral:lncRNA from 1 species